AUUAAACGCUGGCGGCAUGCCUUACACAUGCAAGUCGAACGGCAGCACGGGGGCAACCCUGGUGGCGAGUGGCGAACGGGUGAGUAAAGCAUCGGAACGUGCCCUGGAGUGGGGGAUAACGUAGCGAAAGUUACGCUAAUACCGCAUAUUCUGUGAGCAGGAAAGCAGGGGAUCGCAAGACCUUGCGCUCUGGGAGCGGCCGAUGUCGGAUUAGCUAGUUGGUGGGGUAAAGGCCUACCAAGGCGACGAUCCGUAGCGGGUCUGAGAGGAUGAUCCGCCACACUGGGACUGAGACACGGCCCAGACUCCUACGGGAGGCAGCAGUGGGGAAUUUUGGACAAUGGGCGAAAGCCUGAUCCAGCCAUGCCGCGUGAGUGAAGAAGGCCUCGGUUG
rnacentral:rRNA from 1 species